rnacentral:lncRNA from 1 species
AUCCAUUCAUGAUCCAAUGUCGUUUCCUUCUAUUGUGUCGUCAUGACCUGUUCUCACUAAUAGGGUGAUUUGAGUCGUCUUCCAACGCAACUUCUGACCUAUCUUCUCGACUUCUUAAGGACUAACGAGUAAAAAACUGAUAAUACGCACACCAGUGCACUAUAGUUAGCAUGAGCUGAAACCUUUUGGGUGAGACAUUCACAUCCUCGCGCAGAAGGAAGUGACACUCGAAUCUUUGUCUCUACACCAGACUCCAACAUCCUUAACGUAGCACAGUACGAAAAACUCACAUAUGACCGACCACAGUACGAAGAAAUAACAUAAUUUCAUCUCUACAUCUCAAACCAAUACACAUUCUUAAUAACAUGCAUUGCUCACCAAUCAUAAAGUUUAUAACGCUUUUCUCAUUACCUUUUAUGCAUAAUCUUAAUACUAUACAUUAACCAUCCAACACAAAAUUUAUAACAUAAUACUAUAUUAAUCCUUUAAUUAGCACAACCAAAAUUUAAUCAAUGACCAUCAAUAGAUCCACUCGGAUCCCCCCAUUCAACACUAUGCCCCACCACUCAUGAACGUAACAUCAUUAAAGCAAAAAAAAAAAAAAUCUAGAAUUUAACACCUACUCAAAAGUUCAAUACACCUACCACAAUCCAAAUUUAUUCUUCACAUAGCGGCCCACAUCCAUUUAUAACACCCUUUUCUAAAUUUUUCCAACCCAAAUAAUUAAUUACCCCUUUGCCUAUUGAUGUACGUUUGACAACCAUGAAAAUGGGUGUUCUCUCUUUUUCCUCAAAUUGUGGCAGACCCACAGGUUACUACCCAAUUUCCUACUCAAUAUUCUCAUCUUAUCCCUUAUCAAAAUAACAUCAGUGUAUCAUAUAAACUCCAUGCCAAAAACCUUUUCUGAAUACUUCUCCACGUGGGACCCACAACCAUUAAUAUCCUUUAAAAUUUCACCUUCUCUCUCCCGAAUUGGUACGUAAAGUCUGUUCAUGCAAACUCCCCCCUUAUUUCUUCAUUCUUUUCUCUUCCAAUCUCCUUCACUUUUGACCAACCCAUUCCUCUCCUUCUCUUUUACUACCGUUAUAACCCUUCUUUCCCUUCUUUUCAUUUUUCUUUAUUGAAAAAUUAUAUUUUAACAUCAUUUUUUUGACAUCAUUUUGACACUGCACACGUGUCAAAAUAUGGUUGGACGAUUUCAAAUUAAAAAAAAAAAAAAACUUUGGUUUUUCUCUUCCAAAUAUAUCCCUAUCUCAGCUUUUUUUAAUUUGAAAUCGUCCAACCACAUUUUGACACGUGUACAGUGUCAAAAUAGUGUCAAAAAAUAGUGUUAAAAUAUCAUUUUCCUUCUUUAUUUUACUCAACUUCCAAAACCCACUAACAUAUUCUUUCAUUCCCCUUUCGUAACAUUGCAUGCAACAACCCAUUCUUCUCCACAACAUAAUCAACACACACCUUCUAACACUUAUAAAGCUCAUCACCCUCUCAUCACUUCUUCCUCAAAGAUAUUCAUGUGAAACCAUUCAAGAUACCAUUACACUCUCUUUCUUCCAUUAUAAAAUCUUUUAAUCUCUUCUUAUCUUCCAUCUAUAAAGCAAACCCCUUUAGACGCGAAGCCAUGCGAGUAAGGACUCAACUUCUCUCUUUUUGCGUAAACAUCAACCUUCACCUGCUACCAUGCACUCAACACGUGAAUGUUCACGUAAUCACUUCUUAAAGCACAUAAGAAAGGUUAAUCCCAUCAAAACCCUUUUAAUGAACCUGUAUCGACAACACUAAUUGCCUCCCCUCACUUUCCAUUUUCCUUUUACCCAAUCGUGCUUACACCCAUGCAAGGUCUCCCUUUGGGAGUAUCACUCUCUAUUUUGAUGUUUUCUUUCAUCAAUCUCCUCACAUUCACGUAACCACCACCCAAGUAUCCCUUCAAUUAAAAACCAAGGGCCUUCUUCUUCUACACAAGUCUUCCUUCUCCUAACAACCCUAGACCAUCCUACUGCAACUUCCUCUGCAACUAUUUCACAAACUCUUUUCAAGAUAACAACACUCUUCUUGUAUAACAUCUUCCCUUCAUCUUCUUUUUCUCUCAGCAACCCUUAUUUACUUUCUUCAAACCCAACUAAAGUCACUUAAUAACCAAAACCCAAACCACUUCCGCUCUCUAGCCUCUUUUGUCUUCUCACUACUACCUAAAUAACAACCAAUUUCCAUGUUCCAAACACUUUCUUUUCCUUUAUUUACAACAUGUAAAACAUCUUCUCUAUUGCGUAAAGAAAAACGCCACCCCAUUCCAGUGCCCAAGGUACACCCCAAUCUCUUAUUCCCUCACAGAAAAUCAACCUUCCCCUUAUAUCAACCAUAACACCCUAAUAAAGAAAUAAAGAAUCCCACUUUUAGUCUUCACUCUCUACUAUCAAUAACUUCUUAUCUUUCCUCCUUUGCUUCUUUCUGUCCACAACACUUCUUCCUUUUUAUAUUUCUCACACCAAAAGUUUCUCACGGUAACCAUACUUAUAUAAUAAAUAUGCAAAAAACUUCAUUCCUCUUAUCUUCACUAAACCCAUCUAUAUUUCAUUCCUUUCUCAACUGUCUUUUAUACUACCAGUACAUUAACCCCUUACUUUUUCUUACAUUCUUAUCUUUCAAAGCUCUUUUCCUUGAGCUUACGCUUAUUCACCAUCAAACCCUAGGCGAGAACUAUACUUUCAUUCUCGAUCUCAUCUACGAUUUUUUCAUUAGGUCACCCCGUUCACACAUCCUCACACCUACUACUUCAUUUAUUUCAUAGACUACCCUUUUCUUCCUUUCCUCGGCGUACACACACUUCCAACCCUUUACGAACGACUACAUACAUCACCUCUGUUGGAAAAAGAAUGACUUAGUUUCAACACCAAGAGGGGGGUGAAUUGGUAAGUUUCAAAAAUCAGUGUCUUUUUCAAAUCUUUUUCGCAAAGUAUAAACCUUUCAAAAAGUUUCUUGAAUCUCAAGGAAAAAGAUAUAUCAGUGUAGCGAAAAUAAAGUUGACUAAGCAGAAAGUAAAGUCGACUUAAAGUAAAGAGUUUAGGGAUAGAGAAUAUCAAACAUAAUUUUAUACUGGUUCGGCCAAACUGCCUACAUCCAGUGUCCUUCCUAUACCUGGAAGCAAAUGCACUAUAAUGGUCAAGGUUUCUAUAGAGACCUCCACGUCAAAAUAUAAAACACCUCUCUAACCCUCUAACCAAAAUAUAGGCAUACAACACCCAAAGAAUAGCAGCAAGAUAUCCCC